rnacentral:rRNA from 1 species
GACGAACGCUGGCGGCGUGCUUAACACAUGCAAGUCGAACGAUGAAGCGGUGCUUGCACCGUGGAUUAGUGGCGAACGGGUGAGUAAUACGUGAGUGACCUACCUUUGACUCUGGGAUAAGCCUGGGAAACUGGGUCUAAUACCGGAUACGACCAAUCUCUGCAUGGGGUGUUGGUGGAAAGCGUUAUUGAGUGGUUUUAGAUGGGCUCACGGCCUAUCAGCUUGUUGGUGAGGUAAUGGCUUACCAAGGCGACGACGGGUAGCCGGCCUGAGAGGGUGACCGGCCACACUGGGACUGAGACACGGCCCAGACUCCUACGGGAGGCAGCAGUGGGGAAUAUUGCACAAUGGGCGCAAGCCUGAUGCAGCGACGCCGCGUGAGGGAUGACGGCCUUCGGGUUGUAAACCUCUGUUAGCAUCGAAGAAGCGAAAGUGACGGUAGGUGCAGAGAAAGCGCCGGCUAACUACGUG